UACGUAGGGGGCGAGCGUUGUCCGGAUUUAUUGGGCGUAAAGAGCUCGUAGGCGGUUUGGUAAGUCGGGUGUGAAAUCUCCACGCUCAACGUGGAGGGGCCACUCGAUACUGCCAUGACUCGAGUCCGGUAGAGGAGUGUGGAAUUCCCGGUGUAGCGGUGAAAUGCGCAGAUAUCGGGAGGAACACCAGUGGCGAAAGCGACUUCCUGGACCAGUACCGACGUUCAGGCACGAAAGCGUGGGGAGCAAACAGG
rnacentral:rRNA from 1 species